GAUAUCCAGUCAUGUUUUCCUUACCUUUGAGAAGAAUCAACAGAGUAUUGGGGAAAAUAAUCAAGCCAAAGAUUUCCAAGGUCGUAUUCAUAACCUUAAACUAUAAACAUUACAGUCAGCCCAGCUGAUACGCACGGCAGAGUGGAUUGCCAUACCUCAGUUGUUUUACUCACUCUGGAAGUUGUGAGUAGAAGCUGAGCUCCAUUGAAUGAUACACAGUGCAUGUUCAAUCUGAAGGAUAACUGAUGGACAGAAUAACUUUAUUUUUCUUGGUGAACAAGCAACUAUGAAAUCCCUCUUUUAAACUACACAUCCUUCUUGAUCCUUCUCUUUUGGCUGAAGAUAAACCAGGGAAAUAAUAUUGAGCUGAAAGCAGAUUGAAAAGACUGAUGGAAGGAAAGUUCUAGAAUCAAUGGCUACAUAGCCUUUUCUAAGCCAAGGACCAUGAUCCAUCUGUUAAGCUACUGAAGUUCGCAGAUGACACAACAGUGAUUGGUCUCAUUCGAGACAAUGGCGAAUCCGCAUAUAGACGAGAGGUCGAACGACUAGCCUUGUGGUGCAACCAAAAUAAUCUGGAACUGAAAACACUCAAAACCGUAGAAAUGGUGGUAGACUUUAGGAAAAACCCUUCCAUACUUCCACCUCUCACAAUACUAGACAACACAGUAUCAACAGUAGAAACCUUCAAAUUUCUAGGUUCUAUCAUAUCGCAAGAUCUAAAAUGGACAGCUAACAUCAAAAACAUCAUUAAAAAAGGACAACAAAGAAUGUUCUUUCUGCGCCAACUCAGUAAGCUCAAACUGCCCAAGGAGCUGCUGAUUCAGUUCUACAGAGGAAUUAUUGAGUCUGUCAUUUGCACCUCUAUAACUGUCUGGUUCGGUUCUGCAACCCAACAAGAAAAACACAGACUUCAGAGGGUAAUUAGAACUGCAGAAAAAAUAAUUGCUACCAACCUGCCUUCCAUUGAGGACCUGUAUACUGCAUAAAUCAAGAAGAGGGCCGUGAAAAUAUUUACAGACCCCUCGCAUCCUGGACAUAAACUGUUUCAACUCCUACCCUCAAAACGACGCUAUAGAGCACUGCACACCAGAACAACUAGACACAAGGACAGUUUUUUCCCGAAGGCCAUCACUCUGCUAAACAAAUAAUUCCAUCAACACUGUCAAACUAUUUACUGAAUCUGCACUACUAUUAAUCAUCUCAUAGUUCCCAUCACCAAUCUCUUUCCACUUAUGACUGUAUGACUAUAACUUGUUGCUGGCAAUCCUUAUGAUUUAUAUUGAUAUAUUGACCAUCAAUUGUGUUGUAAAUGUUGUACCUUGAUGAAGGUAUCUUUUCUUUUAUGUACACUGAGAGCAUAUGCACCAAGACAAAUUCCUUGUGUGUCCAAUCACACUUGGACAAUAAAAUUCUAUUCUAUUCUAUUCUAUUCUAUUCUAUUCUAUUCUAUUCUAUUCUAUUCUAUUCUAUUC